ACGGAGGGUGCAAGCGUUAUCCGGAUUCACUGGGUUUAAAGGGUGCGUAGGCGGACAGGUAAGUCAGUGGUGAAAUCUCUGGGCUUAACCCAGAAACUGCCGUUGAUACUAUUUGUCUUGAAUAUCCUGGAGGUAGGCGGAAUAUGUCAUGUAGCGGUGAAAUGCUUAGAUAUGACAUAGAACACCAAUUGCGAAGGCAGCUCACUACACAAUCAUUGACUCUGAGGCACGAAAGCGUGGGGAUCAAACAGG
rnacentral:rRNA from 1 species